rnacentral:rRNA from 1 species
AGAGUUUGAUCCUGGCUCAGGAUAAACGCUGGCGGCGUGCCUUACGCAUGCAAGUCGUACGGAGUUCCAGACUUCGGUUUGGGAUUCAGUGGCGAACGGGUGAGUAACGCGUAAGUGACCUGCCCGGAAGUGGGGGAUAACCAGCCGAAAGGUUGGCUAAUACCGCAUCAGCUCAUCGAUUCGUUUCGGUGAGGAAAGCAGCAAUGCGCUUUCGGAGGGGCUUGCGUUCGAUUAGCUUGUUGGUGGGGUAACGGCCUACCAAGGCGACGAUCGAUAGCUGGUCUGAGAGGACGGCCAGCCACACUGGGACUGAGAUACGGCCCAGACUCCUACGGGAGGCAGCAGCGAGGAAUCUUGCGCAAUGGGCGAAAGCCUGACGCAGCAACGCCGCGUGGGGGAUGAAGGCCUUCGGGUUGUAAACUCCUUUUGCGAGGGAAGAAGUUCUGACGGUACCUCGCGAAUAAGCCACGGCUAACUACGUGCCAGCAGCCGCGGUAAUACGUAGGUGGCUAGCGUUGUCCGGAUUUACUGGGCGUAAAGAGCGCGCAGGCGGUCGUUCAAGUCGAGUGUGAAAGCCCCCGGCUCAACUGGGGAGGGUCACUCGAUACUGAUCGACUUGAAGGCGGGAGAGGGAAGCGGAAUUCCCGGUGUAGUGGUGAAAUGCGUAGAUAUCGGGAGGAACACCAGUGGCGAAGGCGGCUUUCUGGCCCGUUCUUGACGCUGAGGCGCGAAAGCUAGGGUAGCAAACGGGAUUAGAUACCCCCGUAGUCC